GAAGAAGAAAGCGAAGCAAAGAUUGAACGAGGAAGAAAAGAAGGCUUCCAUUUCUGCUCGCGUGUCACCUGCAACGAGGAAAGCAGACGUUACCAAGGUGCCAGGGAAAUUAAGGAGGAAGUCAGGGGCUCGUUGACCCAAAAAUUGUGAAGGGGUAUCGGGCUCGAGGAUGGCAGUGAGGCCGAGAGUGGCGACCUGAGGUCUCCUUCGGCCAUAAGAAGGAGGGACAUUCACAAAAAAAGACACAGACAGAGAGAGGAGGAUACUGAGUCGGGCAAAGAGAAAAAGCAAGGAAAAAGGACGAAGAAGGAGAUUGGAAAGGUGACAGAAGUGACCCAAUCUAGGGAUUUCCAAUCACGAUCCCUUAGUAACUGGAUAGAAAGUACUUAGCAGGGACAUUUAGUGAUGAUGAGAUGAACAUGAGAAGAAAAUGUAGGAUUUGGUGGCCAGAUCAGCUUUCAUCAACCGACCCAUCUUCCUGCAGUCUCUUGUUUGGGUGGUUCAUCUGUUGUUCUUCAACUUCUCUUGAUGUUGUAGUAGCCGUUGAAUCUAGUGAUGUCUCCUUGGCUCGGUGCCAAUCUGGUCUCCGGGACAUCCUCCAAGAAACUGAUGGAAAAAUGCCAGUAUUUCUACAGGAGAAAUCAACAUUUUCUUUGCUUGGUCAGUGUGCUGCUCAUUUGCACAGUAAUGACAAGUUGUUGAAAGUUG